rnacentral:rRNA from 1 species
UACGAAGGGUGCAAGCGUUACUCGGAAUUACUGGGCGUAAAGCGUGCGUAGGUGGUCGUUUAAGUCUGUCGUGAAAGCCCUGGGCUUAACCUGGGAAUUGCGAUGGAUACUGGGCGACUAGAGUGUGGUAGAGGAUAGUGGAAUUUCCGGUGUAGCAGUGAAAUGCGUAGAGAUCGGAAGGAACAUCUGUGGCGAAGGCGACUAUCUGGGCCAACACUGACACUGAGGCACGAAAGCGUGGGGAGCAAACAGG